rnacentral:rRNA from 1 species
AUACGUAGGUGGCGAGCGUUGUCCGGAAUUACUGGGCGUAAAGAGCGCGUAGGCGGCUAUUUAAGUCAGAUGUGAAAACUUGGGGCUCAACCGCAGGAUUGCAUUUGAAACUAGAUAGCUAGAGGGCAAGAGAGGAAAGCGGAAUUCCCAGUGUAGCAGUGAAAUGCGUAGAUAUUGGGAGGAACACCAGUGGCGAAGGCGGCUUUCUGGCUUGUACCUGACGCUGAGGCGCGAAAGCGUGGGGAGCGAACGGGAUUAGAUACCCCGGUAGUCCACGCCGUAAACGAUGGGCACUAGGUGUAGGAGGUAUCGACCCCUUCUGUGCCGCAGCUAACGCAUUAAGUGCCCCGCCUGGGGAGUACGGCCGCAAGGUUGAA